rnacentral:rRNA from 1 species
UACGUAGGCAGCAAGCGUUGUUCGGAAUUACUGGGCGUAAAGAGUGUGUAGGCGGUGCUCUAAGUCUGUUGUGAAAUCUCCCGGCUUAACCGGGAGGGUGCGGCGGAAACUGGAGUGCUUGAGGGUGGGAGAGGUAAGCGGAAUUCCUGGUGUAGCGGUGAAAUGCGUUGAUAUCAGGAGGAACACCUGUGGUGUAGACAGCUUACUGGACCACUUCUGACGCUGAGACACGAAAGCGUGGGUAGCAAACAGG